GUCGUAUCGGUUUGAUCGGGAUACUCAUCAAAAUAAAAACGAAAACCGAGAAGGCUUCUCUUGUUAAUGGCGGGCCACAUAAAUCUGUGAAGACUAAGCUGUAAAGCCGGUGGAUUACAAAGACGGAGAGCACUCAAAUCUUGUAUACUCGGAGUUUCAUCACAUCAUCGGUACGACCUUCUU
rnacentral:sRNA from 1 species